CUGUGACUAUUGAGAAGUUAUUUUUCUAACAGCUGAUCAAAUUUGUUAAUAAAAUAGUAUGAGUCUUAAAAUACUUGUGUUACACUCCACAGUGGGCUGUGCCACUCAUCAUAGCUCACUACUAUUUUGUGGCCUACAUU